rnacentral:lncRNA from 1 species
CUAACAUUUGCAUAGAAUAAAAAUAAAUUCUUACAUACAGUACACCUCAAUUUUACAAAGACACAGUGUCAAAAUAAUACAAAUAAAAAGAAAUUACAAUUACGUCAAAAAAUAAAUAUAUACUACAACUUUACAAGGUAAAUGUUAUUGGUCAAUUCAUUAUUUGCUUUAGGAGGAGAUAGGAAGGUGCUCACACACCCCUUGUGAUUGCCCUCAUUCAUUGCCAGCUAAGAAAAAUGAAAUAACAACUCAAUUAAAAAUAUUCUGAAAAUGAGAAGCUAGAAUUUAACAAUUUAGAAGGAACAAAAAAUUUACAGUAUUUUCUCUUGUACUUGCAAAAAGCACAAUAAGGAAUACUAAUGUUAAGUAUCGUUUAGACUGAUUAUUUG